rnacentral:rRNA from 1 species
AGAGCGAACGCUGGCGGCAGGCUUAACACAUGCAAGUCGAACGGGCACUUCGGUGCUAGUGGCAGACGGGUGAGUAACACGUGGGAACGUACCUUUCGGUUCGGAAUAAUUCAGGGAAACUUGGACUAAUACCGGAUACGCCCUUUGGGGGAAAGAUUUAUCGCCGAUAGAUCGGCCCGCGUCUGAUUAGCUAGUUGGUGAGGUAAUGGCUCACCAAGGCGACGAUCAGUAGCUGGUCUGAGAGGAUGAUCAGCCACAUUGGGACUGAGACACGGCCCAAACUCCUACGGGAGGCAGCAGUGGGGAAUAUUGGACAAUGGGCGCAAGCCUGAUCCAGCCAUGCCGCGUGUGUGAUGAAGGCCUUAGGGUUGUAAAGCACUUUUGUCCGGGAAGAUAAUGACUGUACCGGAAGAAUAAGCCCCGGCUAACUUCGUGCCAGCAGCCGCGGUAAUACGAAGGGGGCUAGCGUUGCUCGGAAUCACUGGGCGUAAAGGGCGCGUAGGCGGACUUUUAAGUCGGGGGUGAAAGCCCAGGGCUCAACCCUGGAAUUGCCUUCGAUACUGAGAGUCUUGAGUUCGGAAGAGGUUGGUGGAACUGCGAGUGUAGAGGUGAAAUUCGUAGAUAUUCGCAAGAACACCAGUGGCGAAGGCGGCCAACUGGUCCGAUACUGACGCUGAGGCGCGAAAGCGUGGGGAGCAAACAGG